AUGCGUACUACAUUGUCUAAACACAUGUACUGUAAUUUUACUGUGUAAAAGUUCUAUUAUCUCUCACCUACCUUACAUGACUCCUCCAUUUUUCCUCCAAUUUCUUCCCAUCGUACAUUAAUUCAGUCUAGAAAUUUCUAUUGCCUUUGAUUUUUAUUCGAUUUUGUACAAAUUUUUCCAGCAGUGCUUCAAAUGGCUGGAUUCUCUAAGAUCGAUGUCUCGACGUUUAGAAAUCGGAGAGAGGUGCAGUUCCAUGUUGUUUUAGAGAUUGAAAAACGUUCGUCGUUUUACUACUAAUUUCUUAAAAAGUUACCAGAUUUUCUUAUAACUAUUAUAGAAAUUCCUAUGGCUUUGACUCUCCUUUUAACCGAUUCUGCACAUGCACCUAAAGAAGAUGGACAAGAGAGAAAUUGGAGAUGGACGAACAUAUGGGAUUUGGAGGUGGACGAACAGGGGAAAACUUGUGAUUUCAAAUUCUUUUUUGGGGUAAAUUUGCAACUAAAAUUACUUCUAUGUAAUACAUGUAUGUAUAAUUUUUUCUCUCCUUAUCGAUAGAUUCUAGAAUCCACUCCAGAGCUCUACUCCCUCUGCAUGCUGUUUCCUUUGUUGCUCUGCUUCUGGCCAUCGCUAUGGGUCAAUUUUUCAAAAUUCUUUGGGUCGAGUUUGUCUUUCGUAUUUUUAUAUUUUUGAAUUGCGGUAAGUUUUUUUCUUCUUUUAUUCUUUAUUUAUUGCACACUACCUAUUUCCCAUUAUUGGUUGGAACAUAUGCAUUUGUAUACCCCUUUGUAUUUUUUUGUUUUUUUGACUUUCUUCAAUUUAUUAAGAAAAUAGUUUUUUUAAUGCAUGUUGAUUUAUUUUAUUUUUCCAUGUUUCCUGCUUGUGUUACUUUUUGUGUUUCUAUGCAUGUCUUUUACAGUUUAAUUUUCGGAGCUUCUAACAGUCCUUGAACUUUUCUGGGUGGGCAUGAUUAGCUCUUUUUCAGGUCAACAACUUAUAUUAUGUUACUUUUGUAAGGAACAACAAGAAGUAACUCAGCAAAGCAUAUAGAUCCGACACUGAAAGGAAGCGCCGAAAAUAGUAAGGAAACUCACCCCAAGAGAGAUGACAUUUUGAAGCUGUGAUGGAGAAAGGUAAUUCCAGAGAGAGCAGCGAAAGGGAGAGAAUUAGAACAACAAAGAAAUUUCUGAACUUCAAGAGCAAUUAGAAACAACAGUUGGGGUGUAAGAACCGGGGACGAAGAGGGGUACUUUAGUAAUUAUGAGUUUAUUUAGGGAUAAAUUGGUAACUAAGUUAAAGGAAAGCACGCGUACUACAUUGUCUAAACACGUGUACCGCAAUUUUACUGUGUACAAGUUCUAUUCUCUCCCACCUACCUUACAUGACUCCAUUUUUCCUCCAAUUUCUUCCCAUCGUACAUUAAUGCAGUCUAGAAAUUUCUAUUGCCUUUGAUUUUUAUUCGAUUUUGUACAAAUUUUUCCAGCAGUGCUUCAAAUGACUGGAUUCUCUAAGAUCGAUGUCUCGACGUUUAGAAAUCUGAGAGAGGCGCAGUUCCAUGUUGUUUUAGAGAUUGAAAAAUGUUCUAUCAUUUUACUAUUUAUUUCUUAAAAAGUUACCAGAUUUUCUUAUAACCAUUAUAGAAAUUCCUAUGGCUUUAACUCUCCUUUUAACCGAUUCUGCACAUGCACCUAAAGAAGAUAGGCAAGAGAGAAAGUAAGUCUCCAUCUUAAACAAUUAUUUUACUCUUUCUCUUACCCAUCUUAUGCAUUUGUUUUGUUUGCCCCUCCUUUUGGCCUUAGAUUUUGGUUUCAUUUCAAAAUUUCAAUAUUUUGGUUAGGUUUUCCUGGUUAUUCUUUAAUUUUACUUAGUUUAUAUCUGUUAUUUCUUGAUGGGCAUGUAAACAUAUGAUUCUAUUUUUUUCAAUAUUGAUCUAUAAUUGUCAUACUACCUCUGAAAUUCUCCUUGUUACUAAUAUUUAGAAACGACAGUUGGAGGUGGACGAACAUAUGGGAUUUGGAGGUGGACGAACAUAUGGGAUUUGCAGGUGGACGAACAGGGGAAAACUUGUGAUUUCAAAUUCUUUUUUGGGUUUAAUUUUCGGAGGUUCCAACAGUUCUUGAACUUUUCUGGGUGGGCAUGAUUAGCUCUUUUUCAGGUCAACAACUUAUAUUAUGUUACUUUUGGUAAGUUUAGCUGUGAGUUAUGCAAUUCAAUUUUUGUAAUAACCUAAACUAUCAAAAUUAUUGUUGGGAGAUUGGAUCUAUUCAUUUGCUCUAUAUUUGACUUUUAAAUUGUUCUUCUCCGACUUCACUACUUUCAUAUAAAUUUCUUUCUUGACGAUAUCAGUAUAUAUGAAAACUUUUACUUUCAUAAUGUUUUUUAUCUGUACAUAUUGUGUUUUAUGAUCAGUGAUAGCUUCCAUCAAUAUGACUUCUUGCUUUCCUUUUACUUUAUUUUUCCAGUUAUUUGAUCUUUUCAUUGUUUACUUAACAUGAUGGAUUUAAACUACAACCUAUACAGGAAUCAAGGAACUUCUAUAAUUUACCUUUUUCAACCUAUACAGCAAAGAGUUAUGCCAUAAAACACCAUCUCACAUCAUCUUAGCAGAAAACUUUCAUACUUUUCACAGUAAGGAACAACAAGAAGUAACUAAGCAAAGCACAUAGAUCUGACACUGAAAGGAAGCGCCGAAGAAAGUAAGGAAACUCAUCCCAAGAGAGAUGAUAUUUUGAAGCUGUGAUGGAGAAAGGUAAUUCUAGAGAGAGCAGCGAAAGGGAGAGAAUUAGAACAACGAAGGAAUUUCUGAACUUCAAGACCAAUUAGAAACAACAGUUGGGGUGUACGAACCUGGGAUGAAUAGGGGUACUUUAGUAAUUAUUAGUUUAUUUUAGGGAUAAAUUGGUAAAAGUCAAAGGAAAGCACGCGUACUACAUUGUCUAAACACGUGUACUGCAAUUUUACUAUGUAAAAGUUCUAUUCUCUCCCACCAACCUUACAUGACUCCUCCAUUUUUCCUCCAAUUUUUUCCCAUCGUACAUUAAUGCACUCUAGAAAUUUCUAUUGCCUUUGAUUUUUAUUCAAUUUUGUACAAAUAUUUCCAGCAGUGCUUCAAAUGGCUAGAUUCUCUAAGAUCGAUGUCUCGACGUUUAGAAAUCUGAGAGAGGCGCAGUUCCAUGUUGUUUUAGAGAUUGAAAAAUGUUCGUCGCUUUGCUACUAAUUUCUUAAAAAGUUACCAGAUUUUCUUAUAACUAUUAUAGAAAUUCCUAUGGCUUUGACUCUCCUUUUAACCGAUUCUGCACAUGCACUUAAAGAAGAUGGCCAAGAGAGAAAUUGGAGGUGGACGAACAUAUGGGAUUUGGAGGUGGACGAACAGGGGAAAACUUGUGAUUUCAAAUUCUUUUUUGGGUUGAAUUUGCAACUAAAAUUACUUCUUUGCAAUACAUGUGUAUACAUUUUUCUCUCCUUAUCGAUAGAUUGUAGAAUCCACUCCAGAGCACUACUCUCUCUGCAUUUUGUUUCCUUUGCUGCUCUGCUUCUGGCCAUCGCUAUGGGUCAUCUUUUUCAGAAUUCUCUGGGUCGAGUUUGUCUUUUGUGUUUUUGUAUUUUUGUAUUCUUUAUUUUUGAAUUGCGCGCUACCUAUUUCCCAUUAUUGGUUGGAAUAUAUGCAUUUGUAUACCUCUUUGUGUUUUUUUUGUUUUUUUUGACUUUCUUCGAUUUAUUAAGAAAAUAGUUUUUUUAAUGCAUGUUGAUUUAUUUUAUUUUUCCAUGU